AACGAACGCUGGCGGCAGGCCUAACACAUGCAAGUCGAGCGAGGACUUCGGUCCUAGCGGCGGACGGGUGAGUAACGCGUGGGAACGUGCCCUUUGCUACGGAAUAGCCCCGGGAAACUGGGAGUAAUACCGUAUGUGCCCGAGAGGGGAAAGAUUUAUCGGCAAAGGAUCGGCCCGCGUUGGAUUAGGUAGUUGGUGGGGUAAUGGCCUACCAAGCCGACGAUCCAUAGCUGGUUUGAGAGGAUGAUCAGCCACACUGGGACUGAGACACGGCCCAGACUCCUACGGGAGGCAGCAGUGGGGAAUCUUAGACAAUGGGGGAAACCCUGAUCUAGCCAUGCCGCGUGAGCGAUGAAGGCCCUAGGGUUGUAAAGCUCUUUCAGUGGGGAAGAUAAUGACGGUACCCACGGAAGAAGCCCCGGCUAACUCCGUGCCAGCCGCCGCCGUAAUAC
rnacentral:rRNA from 1 species